rnacentral:sRNA from 1 species
AGUCAUUGGAGGUGCUUUCUGCUGAGUGAGGGCCCUGGGUGGUGUGCAUAAAUGAGCUGCCACUUCCCAGGGAGCCCUCCGUGGGCUCUUGCUGGUCAGCCUGGGGCCUCAGCCCCCGACUGGUCCACACCUGACCCAUUCGCCGCCUUCCUGCUCUCCCAGGUGCAAGCCCUGGAACAGCGCAACCAGCUGCUGGAGACACGCUGGAGCUUCCUGCAGGGCCAGGACUCAGCCAUCUUCGACCUCGGGCAUCUCUAUGAGGAAUAUCAGGGCCGGCUGCAGGAGGAACUGCGCAAAGUGAGCCAGGAGCGGGGGCAGCUGGAGGCCAACCUGCUGCAGGUGCUGGAGAAGGUCGAGGAGUUUCGAAUCAGGUAUGAGGAUGAGAUCUCCAAGCGCACAGACAUGGAGUUCACCUUUGUUCAGCUGAAGAAGGUAGCCUGCCCAGCCUGCCCCAGGGGCUCCUUCCUCAUGGGCCCUGGGCCCUCUUUCCCUCCAGAUAUCCUACUCUCCUUUAUGCCCAAUCAAAGCCCUCAGAAGCUUAAGUCCCAGGACCAAUAGACAGACAGGGAGAUACCCCCAUCCCCAUCCAGCUCCUUUUUCGAGGCUCUGAGCCAGAUCUCCUCUGGAAUCACCCCCACUCUCACCCAGGAGGCAGCCCCCCAGCCCACUCCUGCCCUGGGACCCUCCAUUCCCUCUCCCACCACUCACCACUGCUCCCAACCCCAGGACCUGGAUGCAGAGUGUCUUCGUCGGACUGAACUGGAAACCAAGUUAAAAAGCCUGGAGAGCUUCGUGGAGUUGAUGAAAACCAUCUAUGAGCAGGAGCUGAAGGACCUGGCAGCACAGGUGAAGGAUGUGUCGGUGACCGUCAGCAUGGACAGCCGCUGCCACAUCGACCUGAGCGGCAUCGUGGAGGAGGUGAAGGCCCAGUAUGACGCCGUCGCGGCUCGCAGCCUGGAGGAGGCCGAGGCAUACUCUCGGAGCCAGCUGGAGGAGCAGGCCGCCCGCUCGGCCGAGUAUGGGAGCAGCCUCCAGAGCAGCCGCAGCGAGAUCGCGGACCUCAAUGUGCGCAUCCAGAAGCUGAGGUCCCAGAUCCUCUCUGUCAAGAGCCAUUGCCUGAAACUGGAGGAGAACAUCAAGACAGCUGAGGAGCAGGGUGAGCUGGCCUUCCAGGAUGCCAAGACCAAGCUGGCCCAGCUGGAGGCCGCCCUGCAGCAGGCCAAGCAGGACAUGGCGCGGCAGCUGCGCAAGUACCAGGAGCUGAUGAACGUCAAGCUGGCCCUGGACAUCGAGAUCGCCACCUACAGGAAGCUGGUGGAGGGCGAGGAGGGCAGGAUGGACUCGCCCUCAGCCACUGUGGUCAGCGCUGUGCAGUCCAGGUGCAAAACCGCUGCCUGCAGGUCAGGCCUCUCCAAGGCCCCCUCCCGAAAGAAGAAGGGCAGCAAAGGCCCCGUGAUCAAAAUCACCGAAAUGUCAGAGAAGUACUUCUCGCAGGAGUCGGAGGUCUCAGAGUAAGGCGGCUGGACCCCAGGAACCCCAGGGCACUCCACUGCAGCAGGAGGGACUUAAGCUAGACUCAAGAAAGCAGCUUGGAGCCUCUAGGUUGAGAAGAGAGGCAAAACCUGAUAUUGAACUGAGAGGGGGGUUCAAAACUGACUGUGUUUUGUGGGCUGCCAGGGUGGGAGAGGAGCAUCACCAGCUCCUCAGAGCCACUCCGCUCCAUAUCAGUAUCUCACAGUCCCAUCCUUCCAACCUUCUGGCCAGAGGUUUUCCUGAUGGGUGAGUCAGAAUUAGGGGUCAGUUUUGUCUCCACCUCCUCGCUCCUCUGAGGCUCCUCCUCCAGCAUCAGGCUCUGCCAAGGCUCCUCUGACUCUUGCCCAAUCCUUGACCUUGACUCCUAUCUCAAGCCUUGCCUUGCCUCUGCCUCGGAACUGAGACUGGGACUGUCUCAUCCACCUAUGUGCGGGAGCCGAGGAGGACCGCGUGGGCCCUGUCCUGUAUCUGGAAUUCCUGGGAAGGCUGGCUGCUGAAGACCCUCUUGGCUUUCCCGUGCUCUUUGGGCUCCCCAGAGACCUGACAGUAUUAGGGAGUGAAGGGAGGAGGGGCCCUGGCUGUUUGGGACCUAAGCCUAGGCCCCAGAGAUCAGCCCGAACACCCGCAUCCCUUCCUCCUCCCGUGGGUCCCUCCCAGUAGGCCAUAGUCAGAACUGGAUGGGCUGCCCCCAGCCAGCUCCCAGCAGCUUCUCCGGAAGCUGCUCUUGCCAUAAUCAACUCCCUGGGAGUGGAAGCCAGAUGGCAGCUUGAGAUUGGGCAGGAGCAUUAGAUCUUCCUUUCACCUCCCUGCCAUGCUGGGGUCCUACCCAGCCUGGAUCUGAGCUCUUUGCCCCCAGCCCGGGUUGUUCCCAGCCUGAGCACCGGGCUUUGGUGCACCAGGCCGUGGAGACCCCUGGUCCCACCCCUGCCAUGAAGCCCCAGGCCCACUUCCCAGGAAUCUCACUUCUCAGGGCCUCUGUUCUCCUCUCCAUUGGGCCAAAUAGCCUGGCCCUCCCCUCCUUGGCAUUCAUGGGGGAGCCCAGGAACCCCCCACACCUAUGGGGUUAGAGCUCCUCCUUUCUUCUCACUCCUUCCCCUUCCUCCCUCCAUGCCCACUCCCCCUGCCUCCAGCAGGCCAGGAAGAAGGCACAGUCCAGGCAAGUCUGGGAGCUUCCAAGCCCUUGAGGUCCAGCUGUGGGGCCCAAAUGACAGCCUUACAAGGGUUCUACCAGAGAGGAAAAUUCCACAUCCCACCAGAAGACAGGGGUGUUGGCAGGCAUACUCCUAUCUCCUCCUCUUGGCUCUCAAUGCUGAGGCUUGCAGAGGCAUCCCAGCGGCACCAGCCUCCCACUGCACAGCUUCCUUCCCUCCUUCACUCUCCUCUCCCCUCCCUGCCCCUUGCCUCACCUCCUCUUCUAGACUGCAUUAGAUUCAUUCAUCUCAUUUUCCAGGACAUGCUGGCCAGAGGUCUGGGCCCAUCCCAGGCCUCAAGGCCCUCCAGGCCUGUGGGGAGCACUGGAGGGUUACUGACUCUCUGGCCAUGGGAACUCAGACAUUCUCAUCCCCAAAGUCCCAAAAGAGGGUGCUGAUUGGUGCUUUUCCUCAGGCUCUUCAUUGGUUUCCAAGGGAGCAAAUCCUCAGUGGGGAUACAAGACAUAUAAAGUAUAUAUUAUUUUUUCAUAACUUAUGUGGCUUUUAACUUAUUGCUUCCCUUCCUGUUUCUGCAUGAUCAGUCUGUAUGUACUAUCUGGAAAGAUAACACAUACUCCAGCCCCCUCACCUGAUUGGCUAUCUUGGGGCCAUGUCCCCUUCUUGCUGCCACAGGAUGAAUAAAGUGUUGAGAUUUGUCUAUGGAGAAA